rnacentral:lncRNA from 1 species
UUCUCUUUUGUGGAGUAUAAAUUAAAAAAACUGGAUUUGGGACCUACAAUACUCCUCAGGUUGAGAUAUUCUUGAAGUUUUAAAAUAGCUUUAGUUUUUAAAGUAAACUGGAUUUGUGGACCUUAAAGUUACUGAGUUUAAACUACAAAUUGUAACAUCAUUACUGAACAUGUCCGCAUCAACCCUCUGAGAAUAACUUGGUCACUUUAUGAAGGGGCGUUUUUAAGUUGUUUAGCAGUGACAUUUAAUAUGGUCCAAUUGCUUUUCUUUUUAACAUGACAAACAAUUUUAAAAGAGACUAAGGAACAAACACUAUUGCGCCGAAUGCCAUAACACUGAGUUGUACAAAUUGUGAUUGAGGAGAUGAAAAAGUUUAUACUUUUUAAAAAAAAAAAAAACAAAAAACAAAACUUCAAAUGGAAUAAAUUAUUCAUGAAGCCUUCCUUGUGGUGUCUCAUUCUGUGGAAAGUACAAGCUCCUUACAGCUUCCCCAUGGUUAGCAGCAGGGCUCUUUCUGUGUCAUUUGCUUGGGGACGGUGGUUUUGAGGCAGGGUCUUGCUAUGGAGACCAGGUUGGUCUUGAACUCAGUGAUUUCCUUGCUUGUGCCUUCCAAGUUCUGGGAUUAAAGGACUGCAUGCACCACUAAUCUCAGCUCUGAAUAAUUUUUAAAAGAGAAUGCUGGUUCUCCACACCCAGUAUUGGUGAUGUGUGUGUGUUUACACACCCAAGCUCCUUUUUGUCUUACAAUUUGGUGUUAAUUAUUCAGUCAAAAUAGUUAUGUUGAAAUAAUAAUAGUGUUUUUCUUUGUGUCUUGGGUGUGUAUGUAUGAUCACCUAAUCAUGUUUGAAUCAUAAGGAAAAAGUUAAAUAUUAAAAUAUGAAUCAUGCAUUAAAAUAGCCGUGCAUUAGUCCCGUAGGCAGUGGUAUAAAAUGUUUUGUUCAGACUUAAGCAAAAGUUAUGAUCAUUUAAAAACUUUCUCCCAAGAGUUUCAAAAGCUUUCAUAAAUGAUGGUGUAUGGCAUUGAAAUUUGUAUCUCAAAUUAUUUCUUAUAAUUUUCCUCUGAUUCAUUUCUACCUUGUUAUUACUGUUCUCUAUGAGCCAUGCAAAUUAAGCAUUUUUACAAGUAAGAAUAUUCAUUGUUUGGACAACUGCAUACAUCUUUUCAAUUGUGGUUUACAGUACUCAGAGCCAAUCUUUGGGCACUGUAACUUAGACCUCAUUGGUAGAGCACUUUCCUAACUACAAAACUCUGGCCUCAGUCUCCAGCAAUGCAAACAAUGUCUCAAGUAACUGUUGGGCGGUUUGCAAAGGAAAUGCUUUUUUUCUUUCAGUAACUAUGCAUAAGGUGUUUAUACUUAUUCCUAGUGAUACCAGUUGUUUGGAGAGAUCUCUCUUACUCACCCCUAGGCAAACACAGUUUCUCUAUUGGAGCUAUGUGAGCCAUGAUUUUGUCAUAAGCCAAGACUGAAGUCUAAGAAUGGUCGUUGGUUCCUUUUAUGAGUAUUUUCUUUUGAAAACUUUCCUGUCAGAGCUUUCCAUAUGAAUUUCUUUAAAGUAACGAAUACAGGGAGUUAAAAGCAUGUGAGAAAUGGCAAACAUUUUCAAGGAGCAGGAAACUCAAUCCUGGACACUGUCUUGAUCUUUUGGUGUCAGUAGCACACUGUUGAUAGCCACACAUGAAUUUGUUGGAUUUGAGAGGUGAACUGAAAGAAUACUAUUUUUCUCUUCAGACUGUUAAUAAAUUAAGAAAUGGUUGGAGUU